UUUUUUUUUUUUUUUCAAGACACAAGCAAAGAAAUUAUUGCAGCUGCUAGUGUAGUGCCAGGGAAAAGUUAGUGAUCCUCCAAAAACCAGACAGGAGCUGUAUUCACACUAACUGGGGGUGGGGGUGGGGGUCAUCGUGCUGCUGUCAUGCAGGACAGUUUUGGUGGUGGGUGAGCCCCGAAUGUCUAUGGGGCAAACUUUAUAAGUGUGCAAGCAUCUACUUGGAAAGCUACUGUGGCCUUUAACAUAAUUGGCUAGUGCCAGGAGUCAUAUCAUAAACUCAAUUUCUGCUCCCCUCUGCAGAGGUGGUCAUUAGGCAGGCUUGUAACCUGCGGGUGUAGGUUUGUUGGGGAAUAACCUGGAGACUUGUUGAGGGUGUAACCUGGAGACACUGUACUUGUUGGAGAUUAGCCUAGAGGCUGGAGCUAGGCUCGGGUUUUGUUGGGGGGCAACUUAGAGACUAGUGCUAGGUACCAGCCUGUUAGUUUACCUGAGUUCAAACAUAGGCCAGGUUCUCUAAAAUGGAGUCUGAACUUACAAAUUUGGCCUAUCACUACCACUGGGAUAUAUCCCACUUUGCUUUCGGAGGGGAUUUUCUGUUUUUUUCCUUUCCUUCUUUUUAUAUUCAGUUUCAGAAAAGGUUGAAAGAAUGUCUGAGCAGUUGGAAAAGUUGUGUGUGGAAGUGGAGGAUCCUGAGAAACAACAACAACAACAACAAAAUGGCUGAAAUGGGAAAACAAAAGGGGUUGCUCUGCUCUCCUGCUUCUGAACAGGUUGCAGAGUUGGCUGUGCCGCUGGAAAAAUUAUGGGUGGAAAUGGACACGAUGGGGAGGCAGGAGCACAAGAAAAGGGAGAACAAAAGGCUUGGCCCUGGUGACUGAGCAAGACAGCAGGAGUUUCUUGCAGGAGGAAAGAGGAAAGGAAACUGUGCCAGAGAGGGAGGAGGGGUGGCCCUGGGAUAGGAGAUCACCACCAUCAGCUUUCACAAUAGUCAUACAGCAUAUGCCUGUUAAUGGUGUGGAACAAGGUUAUGACAAGAUAGGAUGGUGUCUUGUAGAAAUGAUAGGUAUAAGCCAUGGUUUGGGGACUAGAGAAAUGGCUCAGUGGUUAAGAGCACUGACUGCUCUGGCUCACAACCAUCUGUAACGAGAUCUGAUGCCCUCUUCUGGUGUGUCUGUAGACAGCAACAGUACACUCACAUACAUAAACAAAUAAAUAAAUAGAUCUUUUUUUAAAGCCAUGAUUUCAUAAGUGGUGCACUCGCCUUAAGUGAAACAAAUUCUAAAUAACUAGUUUACUCAAAAUACAAUUAUUUUGUAUUUUGAAAAGUCUGAACAAAACCCACAAUCCCUGAGCUUCCCAAAUUCAGGAUUUAAAAAUCCUACCAAUCCUCACCUGGAAAUAUCUAACUAGAAAGCUCUGCCCAGUAAGAACCUGUGUCAGUUCCUUGCUGUUCACUCCCAGUAGCAGAGGCAGCCACCCCUGGGCCCUCCACACCCUUGAUCCUCCCAAUAAAUCUCUUAUUAUGGAAUUUGCUACCUGUUGUGACUCAUAGAAAGAAGCCAAGAAGCAAUGAGAAGUGAAAUGGAACAGGACUGAGGCUCCUUAGCUUAGCUGGGGAUUCCCUCCUCUGGGAGCUGCUGUGAGGUUCCUGGGCUUCCCUGUUCUUGGGCUUUUGAGUCCCAGGAUGCCUUUCUAUUUGAGCAAGAAGGCCAACAGAGGAGAGAAAAGGAUAUCAAGGAAAGGAAAGAGACCCUGAAUAAAGUGGGAGGUUAGAAAGGGAUGAUGCUAUCAUUAGACUACUUCCUGCUGAUUAGGGGUGUCAGGUUCCUUGGGGCAAGUUUGAUCUUUGCCACCGGGAUAUCUAAUUUCUCGUUUCUUCUUUGUGUGGGACUACUUAAACUGACCAAAAACCAACUGACAACUCCCCAACUAUACACCACCUCCUCCACCACUAUCACCACAAAUUCCACCCUACCAUUUAUAUACCCUCUCAGAAAUCCUCAGAAUUCCAAAUGUCACAUAAAUGCAGAAACUAUUUGCAGCUGACAAAAUCACACCCCUGCUAGAGCAUGAGGCAAACCAUAGUCAGCUGCUGUGGACAAAUCGAAGCAGCCCCAUAUCCCACACCUGGGAUUAAAAUUAUAUAUAUAUAUAUAUGAGAGAGAUUCUCUGUGUAGUCCUGGCUGUCCUGGAACUCAUUCUGUAGACCAGGCUGGCCUUGAACUCAGAAAUCUGCCUGCCUCUGCCUCCCUAGUGCUGGGAUCAAAGGCGUGGGCCACCACUGCCUGGAGUAUUCUUAUAUUUUUGUGUUUUAUUUUCCCAAAGAAACUAAAAUUCCAAAAUUGUCACUUACACUCGUGAUGGCCAAAGAACUAGUCUAUUAAGUAUAUGGUAGAGGGCUAGUGACAAACCAGUGUACAAUCCCCAGAGCCCACACAAAGACGAGAACCAGCUCCCCGAAGCUGUUGCUCUAGCCUUCAGACAAGUACUCUGGUGCACAACCCAUAAGAAAACAAAUAUAUAUAAUUAAAUAAGAAUCUGGUGCAAUACUAGGGCUACCCAUCGCUUUGGAAUCAAACAAGAAAUAGGAACCACAGGGUGACCCAAGUGACAGGGUGACAGAAGGGCUGGAAGCCCAACAGGGAAGUGACACAAACCAAGGACUCACAAAGACACUGGAGACACAGCCUCACCUGCUCAGGAGGAGUUAGAACUCAGGAGGGACAGAGGGAGGGAAAUAACAGGCUUUUCUUUUUCUUGCCUUUCAGGCCUUAGUCACAAUCUCCCGGAAGCUUGAGUCCUGUAGCCAGCCCACUGCAAAAACAGAACAGACUACCUACCCAGAGGCAUUGGGCAAAAAGCAAAGAACAGCCUUUAGGUAAGAACUAUCCAGGCCUAGGAAAUUGCUUGAUUUGGAGUAUCUUUUUAGUACUGGGUACAUUUCAAAGUAAUAGAAAUUUCCUCAGUUCUUUCUAUUGUGGCUGCUGUAUGUGGUGUCAGCUCAGACCUUUAAUCCUUGUGCCAGGGGAAUGGAGGGAGGAGGAAAAGGUUUGGGGCAAGCAGGGUUACACAGAUUCCAGGUCAGACUGACAUGAAAGUGAGUCCUUAUCUCAACAAAAUAAAAGCUGGUUAUGCAGUGGAUGGGGGGGGGGUGGGUAUGCCCAGGGCGCGCGCGCACACACAAACACACACACACACACACACACACACACACACACACACACACACAAUAUACGGUAAGUGAACUGUUUCUCUUCUGUCCCCUAGCCUCCUACAUCAUCCACAAUUACUGUUUCUGGGCUGAUAAUUACUGUUGGUAGCACUUAAAAUCAGAAUUUUGAGUGCCAGACAUUUUUGCCGUUUCUCAGCUGAAAUCUAGCGUGUCUGGUGUGUGUAUGUGUGUGGGGAGGGGAUGUUAUGCAGAAGUGUAAGUGCCCAUUGUGACAGUCUUCACUCAGGCACGAAUGCCAGGCAGCAGCGCCAUAGCAACCGGAUCCCGGUCUUGGAGGCUCUCAGGGGAUUUGCUGUGUCCUGGGAAAAGGCCACACUCUCUGGACUCACGUUUUUUGUUUUGUUUUGUUUUUAACGUAAAUUAUAUCCAUCGGAAGCGGUUUACACACGCCCACACGCCACUCUUGUCCUCUUCAUCUUCUAGAAUCUUUGUUUAGGAGGAUCCAAAGUGAUUUUUCUUUCCCUAAAGCGUAUGUGCUAGUAGAAAGGAACGAGGCCCAAAGAAAUUAGAAGAGAUGUCUCCACACUUCUGAGCCUAUGUAUCCUUCACACAUCCCCACCGGUCUUUUCUCGUCUGUGUUGCCUCCCAGGCAGGCAGCUAGUCAGGGGAAAGCCAAGAAGUAAGAUGCCGAGCAGCCCUUUCCUCCAGCCAUUGGUGGGGAUGCCCUACCGGGUCUCCAAGGCUGCCGGCGCCGCUCCCAGGAAAACUCCAGGCUUCGCCGCCGAGCAAACCGGCCAGAGACAAACGCGCUGCACAGGGUUCUGGCCCAGACCUGUGGCUGGGGCGGGGCUAGGGGGCGUGUCCUCACGUGAUUGGCCAGCCUGGUCUGGAGGCGGGACUGCCGGACGGACGCUGACAAUGAGCCUCCAUAAAAGGGAGCGGCGGGGUUGGGGGCCCCGGAUCGAACCCUCCCCGCCCGGGGUCGUGACGCGUUGAAGCCCGUGGCUGGCGGGGCGGCCGGGCGAGCGGCGGGUGAGCUAGGCGAGCCGCGGGCCCGGGGUGGUCCGGGGCAGGAGGCGGCCGCCACAGGCGGUGCGCCGAGGUCUGUGCGAACGUCCUCGGCUAUCCGGUCGCCCUUCUUCGCCUCGCCAUGGCCCUGAAAGCCAAGGGCGCCGCGGCUCUGGAUUGCUUCGAGGUGACGCUCAAGUGUGAGGAAGGGGAUGAUGACGACGAGGCCGUGGUGGUGGCCGUGAUCCCGCGGCCCGAGCCGAUGCUCCGAGUAACCCAACAGGAAAAGACGCCGCCACCUCGGCCUAACCUGCUGGAAGCAGGUGUUGAAGGCUGUGAGGAGCUCAAGCAGCAAGUGUCAUGGGAGCAGGAGUUCCUGGUGGGGAACAGCCCAGGAGGCAGUGGACGGGCGCUGUGCAUGGUGUGUGGGGCUGAGAUCCGGUCCCCAUCAGCAGACACUGCUCGCGCACACAUCCUGGAGCAGCAUCCUCACACCCUGGACCUGAGCCCCUCUGAGAAGAGCAACAUCUUAGAAGCCUGGAGUGAAGGGGUUGCCCUUCUGCAAGACAUCCAAGCUGACCAGCCAUCCCUGCCCAGCCUAGAGUCAGGCCAGGAUGGCCAGCCAGACCCCAUCUCCAACCCGGAUCCUGUCAGGAUGCCAGCAGAGAUAGUGGUCCUCUUGGAUUCCGAGGACAACCCAUCCCUUCCUAAGAGGCUCCGGCCCAGAGGACUCCGCCCCCUUGAGCUGCCCGUUACCCCUGUCAUAGAGCAAGGGAAUAAAAAGCCCCGUGGUCAGAGAUGGAAAGAGUCCCCUGAGAAUGAACCUGCUAGAAAGAAGAGAAGCAGGCAUAUGACCAAAAUCUUGGACCCUGACCCAGACCCCCCGUCUCCUGAGUCACCCACAGAGACAUUCGCAGCACCAGCUGAAGUCCGACACUUCACUGAUGGCAGCUUCCCUCCUGGCUUCGUCCUCCAGCUCUUCUCCCACACUCAGCUCAGGACCACUGACUGUAAGGACUCUUCUAAGGACAGCAGAGCAGCAGAGGGCCUGCCCCAGCCACAAAACCCCUCUUCAGGUGAGCCCUGCUAGGAGGGGCCGGUGAGGAAAGCUGAGUCCCUGGAUCACAGCCAGAGCCCAGAUAGAGGUGCUGGGUGUUUAGGCCUUCAAGAGAAGGCCAAGGACAGGGGUUUGAAUGCUGAGGAAGCUGGCCUCUAAGUGGGGCAUCUCUGGCAGUGGUCAUUAAGUUUUGCUAGGCCUUCCAACGCUUGGUGCUCAGCUCAGACCAUGAGGCUGGAGCUCUGGAAGAGCUUCCGUCACUCUGGUGACAGAGGGGCCCAAGAUUAAACAGGUGUGGGGACCAUGGGCAAGUGAUGAACAUCAAAAGGAUUCUCAAUAAUACAAGUGAACUUCCAUUGACAGCUGCUGUUUGUGGUUAUAACCUAGCCUACUGACUGAGAAACUCUUGAAUAUAAUUCAUUUGAUCCUUAUUAAAUACCUUAUAAACAAAGCAUAACGUGGUUUCUAACACUUGAAAGUCUGAGACAGGUUUGCCACAGGUUGGAAGUAGCCUAGGUUACAGAGUGAGAACCAAUCUUUACAAAUCAGAACCCAAAAAAGCUCCUUCCGUAAGCUGUACAUGGGGAGCGGGGAGAUAUCGGCUCAUCAGGUGAAGAUAUGUGCUGCCAAACUGACGACUUGGCUUCAGUCCCCAAAAUGAGAAGGAGAGAAGCAGGCUACUGAAAGUACCCUCUGACCUCCACGUGUCCAUGGCUCACAUAUUUCCCCUCCCCAAUUAAACUAAACCAAACAAACACAUUUUUAUUGUUUUUAAUUUUUUUUGGUGUUUUGAGACAGGAUCUCACUAUGUAGCUUUAACUGUCCUGAAACUCAUGAUGUAGACAGAGCUGGCUUCAGUCCACUUGAGACCUCCCUGCCUCUGCCUAGGUGCUAGGAUUAAAGGCAUUCGCUACCCUGUCCAGCUCUGUUUGUUUUUGUUUUUGUUUUUUUGAGACAGGGUUUCUCUGUAUCACCUUGGCUGUCCUGGAACUCACUCUGUAGUUCCAGAACAACUCAGAAACUCGCCUGCCUCUGCCUCCCAAGUGCUGGGAUUAAAGGUGUGUGCCACCACGCCCGGCUCCUGUCCAGCUCUUUAAUUUAGUUUUAUUUUAUAAGCUUUUUAAAAGAUUUAUAACCGGGUGGUAGUGGUGCAUGCCUUUAUUCCCAGUGUGCAUACUGACAAUCAAACUCCUGUGUACUUUUAAACACUGAGGCAUGUCCACAGCUCCAGGGUGUUUCUGCUAACUUACAGUCCUGUACCAUUAUGGGGAAAUGAAGACUGCAGUGCCCUCGGGGAGGCUAAGGCUGGAUCCUCCCCUUGUAAUGUUGAAUUCAGAUUACAGCAUCUCAGGAUAAGCAACUUGUGAAUGAAGGAUUGGUUGUUGCCGGGGAGUGCUUAGACCCUUGUCCCAUAAAGUUAGAAAUGCUUCAUUAAUAUGCUUUUGGUGCUGGGAUAAGUAAACCAGCUAAUAGGCAACCAUAGACCUGGCAUGGGGCUUGCAAAGAAGAGGUAAGCUUUCAGUAUGGAGGCAAGCAAGCAUGUGAUUUCCCUUGUCCGUAGUGCCCACUUUUACUCGUUUGGUCAUAUCCUUUUUCUUCAUCAGAAGUCUGUAGAGGAGUGCACUAUGUGCCUCUGUUUACCUAAAUGGUCUUCACUCUUAAGACAGGCCUCACUCAUGUACUUCCUUCAGUCAGUUACAUUCCAGUGUUACUUCCUGGGCAGCCAUAUCCUCCUUGGACUUGCAUGCUUCUGGGCCUCCUUGAUCAACCUGGGGCCUUCCGCCUUCACAGAUGAAGGACUCCUUCAUCAUGAGUCUUGGGGUAUCCUGUGCCCAAACUACCUAUCUGGGAUGGUGAGUUGAAGCAAACUGGGUCAGGGCAUCACAGGUGGUGGCAGAGGGAGAGAAUGGGACUGAGGAGGUAGCAGUGUGUCCUGGUACUGUCAUGGUAUAUGGAACCUUGUCAGAGCAAAGCCUCUGCUGGUUUCUUGUUUGGGGACCCAGAGGUUUGACAGCUCCAGGGUAUUCAGCUUUCAUAGAAGUAAAGUUCUACCCCAAAGAAAAGAUGAGUAAAAAUCAUAGACACAGAAACAAGACAAGCUCACUGGCGUCAGCUUUGCUGAACUAAUGGAUAUGCAUAUGAAGCUGCCUGGGAAAACUUUCUGGAACUUUCCAAGAACCUUGUUUGCAACAUGUGGAUAAAGGAAUUUACAAAGCAGUAGAGAAAGUAAACUGAUGUGUCCACAAGUCCUUCCAGGGGAGAGGGGUGGUAAAGGCUUUUUAUUACUCUGUUGACCCAGUUUGCUUAGAACACAUGAUUCGUGAUUUUCUUUGCUCAGCUCCCCAAGUGCUUACAGUACAAUUGUAAGCCACUGUGUGAUACCUGGCUUUUGCUUUUUUUUUUGAAACAGGGUCUUCUAUAGCCCAGGCUGGCUUUAAACUAUGUAACCAAGGCUGGCAUUGAAUUCUUGUUCCUCCUGUGUCCACUUUUCAAGUGCUAACUCGGGAAGCUGGUCACCACAGCCACAGGCAAGACUUGGGAGUGAAAGCCUGCUAGAUGAGAUCAGAGAGAGAGAGAGAGAGAGAGAGAGAAUAUACAUCCCAAAAGGAAAGCUCUCCAUCUCCACACUGUUGCAACCCCUCCCCCAAGUGAGUGUCCCUCCCUUCUCCUUCCUGUGUGCCUGGGUCCAUCCUCCUGACUUCUUAUUCUGUGGUAGUUUCCUAGCUUCGCUCCCUGUCACAUCACUUGGUUGCUUGCUUCACCUCUUGACCUAUGGUUAACUUUAUUUAAUCUUGUUUACAAUAAACAGAAAGCUUUUGGAUUAUAGGUUUGUGCUAAGGCUAAGCCACACCACAAUUAGACAGUUGUUUUGUUUUGUUUUGUUUUGUUUUCUGUAAAUAGUCUCAGGGUUCAGAGCAUAAUUCUGAAACAUUUCCCCCUUUUUUGUCUAAUAAAAAGGAAAGAAUUUAACUUUAUCACAGUAACACUAUUUAUAGUACUGAAGCUAGUUCUGCCAGGCAUUUCACAAAGUUCAGUUUGAUUAUAUUUGGGAGUCUUUUUUAUUUUAUUUUAUUUUUUUUUUUUUUUUGGUUUUUUCGAAACAGAGUUUCUCUGUAUAGCUCUGGCUGUCCUGGAACUCACUCUGUAGACCAGGCUGGCCUGGAACUCAGAAAUCGGCCUGCCUCUGCCUCCCGAGUGCUGGGAUUAAAGGCGUGCGCCACCACGCCCAGCUAUUUUUGGGAGUCUUAAGAUUAAGUAUUUUGUAUUAAAAAAUUAUGUAAAACUUCAUGUCAGUGUCCUAUGAACUCAGUAGUUUGAAUGUCUUGCGCAUCACAAUCUAUUAAGUACACAAACUUUGUUUCUAGUUAACCUGUUUCAGACUCCAACCUGCAAGCACACAAAGGAAGCUAGAUCAAAUUUGUAGCGGCCUGCAACCACUUGAACUGGGUUCCCCUGAAAGGCAGGCUGGGGCUGAAAGAGAUCAGACAGUGAGAAAAGAAUGAGGCCAAGACAAACCUUUCUGUUCAAAGCCUUCGAAGUUUACUGAAUCUGUAUUUAUAAAGAGGGUAGGCCCAUCCCCCACCAGCCCAUUCUUGGUGCCUGGAGCCAGCCCAUAGGCGAUCUACAGGGUGUGUCUCUGGAACAUCUCACGGACCUUUCUGCAGGAAGCAGAGUCUUGGAGAAGAGCAAAUAGAGCCAUCCAGGUCAGAAGGCGUAGACCCUAGGUAAUCUCCUCCUUAGUGGCAGCAAGGUCAAAGUCUGGAUCAGCCUGCUUCAAGGCUGAGGGAGGCUACAAAACUUAUUUCCAGAAUUAGUGUUCUGUAUAACUACUACAUAAUAAUCUUACAGGUUUUGAGAUAAUAUUUAUACCUUCAGAAAAGCUUGCUUUUUUGUUUUCCGAGACAGGGUUUCUCUGUGUAGCCCUGGCUAUCCUGGAACUCACUCUGUAGACCAGGCUGGCCUGGAACUCAGAAAUCCGCCUGCCUCUGCCUCCCAAGUGCUGGGAUUAAAGGUGUGUGCCACCACUGCCUGGCCAGAAAAGUUAAAAGUCAAACAAAGGUUAUGAGAUUAGUGGCCUUUAUUUUUUUGUUUUCCUCUGUCUCGUAUCAGGUGGUUCUUCUGAUAUGGGACAGAGAUUUUAGAUUUUCCUUUAACAAGCAUUCCUGGGUUUAAAGGAGAGAGCCGUGCUUCAAAUCCACAGCCAGCUUUAAGUUUUUUGUUUUGUUUUCGAGACAGGGUUUCUCUAUGUAACCCUGGCUGUCCUGGAGCUCACUCUGUAGACCAGGCUGGCCUGGAACUCAGAAAUCCACCUGCCUCUGCCUCCUGAGUGCUGGGAUUAAAGGUGUGCACCACCACGCCCAGCUCUCAAGCUGCCUUUUACAAGUGGAUUUUUAAUUUAAAUCAUUGUGAUCCUUAUGUGCCUGCCUUCCAAGUGUUGGGAUUAAAGGUGUGUGCCUCCUGAGUGCUGCAAUUAAAGAUUUGAGUCACUGGGCUUGAGAGAUGGCUCAGUGGUUAAGAGCACUGACUGAUCUUCUAGAAGUCCUGAGUUCAAUUCCCAGCAACCACAUGGUGGCUCACACCCAUCCAUAAUGGGAUCUGAUGCCUUCUUCUGGUGUGUCUGAAGACAGGAACAGUGUACUUACAUGCAUAAAAUAACUAAAUAAAUCUUAAAAAAGAAGAAAAGAUGAUGAGUCACUGCCUGGCUGUGGGUUCCUUGCAGUAGUCUCUGGUGUAAUUUGGUUCUCCAUUUUUUAGUGUUAAGGGUUUUCAAGUUUUUCGAAUGCUUAAUCUAUUGUUCUUACUGACUUAUUCUGAAUUUGUUCACUAUUUCAUUGUUUUCAGAGGUUUUAUUGGUCUUGCCUACAUGAGCUAAAUAAAAUUUGAUGUCUUUGCUAAGUUUUGCUAGGCUUUUGCCAGUUCUGGUCAUGCCUCCCAUGACCAGAUGUCUUUGCCAUUUAUCUUCCAGUUAGUGGUUUUCCAUUUUGAUGACCAUAUAGCUAGAGCAUCGCACACACACCAUGAAUCGAGUAGAUAUUUUCCUCUUGCUUUCCUAGUUGUUUGUCUCACAGCCAGUAACGCUGCACUGAUUUUGUGGCUCCUUUCUCCGUGUUGGCCGGUCCAUCCCCUCGUCUAUAAGCUGUCUCUUGCCAUUGGUCUUCGUUCCAUCGGUGGUUGGUGAUGAUUGUGACCAUUCUUUAGGUCCCCACAGUUUGGCAGAUAACCUGUUUUGGAGGAGCAGUGAACAGUGUAGGAGUGGGGGUUAUAUAUUUAUUCUCCAUAUAUGGAAAGCAUUUGCCAAUGGGCAAAUAUUGGUGGACUUUUUUUUUUUUCCUUUAUGAAGAGCCCUGGUUGCUAAAUCACUGAUAAAUAUGAUAUCCAUAAUUAGGGUAGCAUCAGCUUCAAUAUUGGUCAGGGUUGCCUGCGGGGAGAUGAGCUUAGCAACAGUCACAGAAGCGCUCUUUAGUUCCUGCCCCCAUUGGAAAUUAGCUGCCUUUCUGGUAACCCUAUAGAGGGGUUUUUAUAAUAAUGUAUAAAUAUGGUAUAUGAUUUCUCUACUGUGCAAAUUACCAAUUAGGAGCUGAAGCUGAGCUUUGUCCCUGGGUGGCAGGAUUAAAGGCGUGUGCUGUCAUCCUCCUCACUAUAACUCUUAGAAUGUAGAAAAUAACUAAUUUCUUGAGAUCCACCGCUCUGCUGGCUUUGUAGGCAUGGGCUACCACAGCCUCACUGAAAUAUUUUAUCCUAGCUCCAAAUCACUUAGAGAUUUAGAAAACAAAUGUGGCCGGGCAUGGUGGUGCACACCUUUAAUUGAGGACAGCCAGGGCUACACAGAGAAACCCUGUCUCGAAAAAAACAAAAAAAAAAAAAAAAAAAAACAAAUGUGAACUAUAGUGAAACCCUUUGAAUUUACCUAAAACAUUUUAAAGCCCUUUACUGUGUUUUUAAUACCAAACAAUAAAAAGAUCCUUUUUAUUUAAAAAGAAAACUCAAGAGUUAAUGUCCAAGAUAAUGUAUCUACAGUCUUAACGUUCGAACAUGAAAUUAAAACACAUGUUUUAUAUACUUUUUAUAUCACACCAGUAAAGCAAAUAUGCCUUUGGAAAAUCAUUCAAAAAUGUUUUUUAUUGUUAAUUCCUGAUCAAAUGAAAGGCAUUUGUUAGUCUUUGUAAGUUAGUCUGGACUCAGUGACCAAGCUGCCUAUUGAAGUAUGACCUCUCCUCGUUCAGGAGAUCUCUCCUGAUUGAACCUAGUCAUUGUCAGUUUAAUCAUUAUCAGUUUUGAUGAUCUCCACAGUUUUUUUUCUCCUGUGGAAACAGAGACAAAAACCUCUUCCCAAUUUAAUAUAUAUUCUUGGUUCUAUUCUGGGGUCAACAUGUCUUUAAAAUAUACAACCCAGUUUGUUUCAGGUUUUUUCUACUCUCCAGUCUCUAUCUGUAGCUGUUGUGUUUUGCUUAUCAACAAUUUGGACAAUCUGUGACUAUUCUUGAUAAUACCUUUAAAUAUUUUUCCCAGAAGCAUUCUUUAUUUUAUGGUUUGUUUCUAAAAUUGGAGGAAUUUUAAUCAGUGGUUUUCAUUGCUGCAACAAAUCACGUCCCCAUAAAUUCAUAGCAAUUCUUCGCCGUAUAUGGCUUUAAGUUUCCUGUUUGUUCUUCUGCCCUGGGUACUUGACCCAUCCUGCGCUGUGCUUCACCUGAGAUGAACUUCCAGUCCCUAGAAGCUGGAUAUUUACCUCCUGAAGAGGCCAAUCUGGGUACCAACGUGUGGUGAAGUUAUUGUUACAUCUGUUCCUAUGACUACCAAACCUUUAACUUCAUGCCAUUUGUUUGUAUGUUUAGCCUUGGUCUCUGCUAUAAAUAAGUCUAAGACUUGUAUCUUAUCAAUCUACUUUUCAUAUUUUUUUUCCUGUAUGUAUAUAGUUUUUUCUUUGGGAGGGUACAGAAAGCCACUAUGGCUAUUAAGGAUAAAAUAUGAAAUGCUAAGAUGAUAAUUGAGCCAAUUUCAGUUAAGUCAUUUAGUUUUUCAUUUUGACUUCUGUUUUCAAGCUGUUUAAAGUAACACUAUACAGGAUCCUAGUGCCUUAUAUUAUGUUUUUUUCCUAUCCUUAACUUUGAAAUAUCCAGACUUCGAAAAUCUGAUGGCUUCUUAGUUUGUCUGCAACUGGUGUAAUUUCUCAGUUAGUGUUGGAUUGCCAAAUGUUGUUUAUAACAAAAUCUCAAAUCAUUCGAUUUUUACCAAUUCAGACUUGGGAACCAGAUACUGGGGUGAGAGCCUGCUGAAUCAGAGAGGCAGAGAAAGCACCCAGCUGACCUUCCUUUAUAGCCAGCAUCCCAAAAGGAAAGUUCUCUGUUGUCUCAACACCCACCCACCCCCACCCCCACCCCCGCCAACACACACACACACUUGAAUGUCCCUCCCUUCUACUUCCUGUGCCUCUCUCUGUCUAUCCUCCUGACUUCCUCUUACUCUUUUAUUUUCCCCCUAUGUUCAUUCCCUCUCAACAGGUUGCUUGCCUUGCCUUUUGGCUUAUGGUUGACUUUAUUUAAUCCUGUUUACAACAAACAAAGCUCUUGGAUUAAAUAAAGGUGUGUGCUAGGGAUGAGCACAACUAGAAACAAGUUUUUUCAAUAAAUAACCCAAUCUCAGGAUUCACAAUGUGAUCAAAUGUCUGUAACCAACAGUACCUGACAUAAAGACAGCUCUUGCGCUCGGAAGUGCUUUCUGUUCUUAUUUGUCAUUUGAGUGGUGUAACAUUUCCAAGAUCCCUGUGUAGGUUUGUCCUUAGUGAGAACCAAAAGAAAUGGGCUUAGUCCAGCCUCUGCAGGAGGAUUGGUGGCUGGGAAGUGAGAGGUGGAGCAGACCACUCAGGAAGAGACCUCUUCUAGGGCCCAAGAGUAAAAUGGACCAGUUUGUCCCAAAGACUAGUAAUCAGUUCUCCCAUCUCUCUCCUUAUUUCUCAAGCUUAUGGGAGGGCAUGUGCUAUGGCAUACGAGGGAGGUCAGAGGAUUAAACUCAGCUCAGCACUUAAGUGGCUCCCAGCUUGCUUUCUCUGGCUUUAGGGUUCUAGUCUCUGUCACAUCAGGCUUUGCUCUCUUGCCCUUUUAUUCCAUCCAUCGAUUCCUUUGUCCCCUCUGGAGUCCCCAGCUUCUGGACCCUUAACUAGGUUCUGAGCUUAUGGUAGUGUCUGUUUCUUUUUUUGUUUUUGUUUUUUCGUUUUUGGUUUUUCCAGACAGGGUUUCUCUGUAUGUCCCUGCCUGUCGUGGAACUCACUCUGUAGAUCAGGCUGGCCUUGAACUCAGAAAUCCGCCUGCCUCUGCCUCCUCAGCGCUGGGAUCAAAGGCGUGCGCUGCCACCACCACCGCCCGGCUAUGGUAAUGUCUUGAUCAUGAAAGUAGUGCACAGGAACCCUUAUGGUUUUGUUUUACAGAAAGAAAAACUGAACCAGGCAUUGUAAUGGUGUGCGCCUGUCGUCCUAGCCUCUGCCUAUGAGCUCAGAUACCUGAUGCCAGCUAGACCAUACCUCAAAAGAAGGGCCAGGGCUGGAGACUUGGCUUGAGGGUAAAAUACUUGCUGUACAAACCAGAAGUCAGUUUGAUGCCUGGUUCUCAUUAGAACACCAAGUUGGAUGUGGUGGUGUACAACUUUAAUCCCAGCACUUGGGAGGCAGAGGAAGGUGGAUCUUUGUGAGUUGGAGGCCCACCUGGUCUACAGAGAGAGUUCCAGAACAAGCAGAGUUGCACAGAGAAAUCCUGUCUUCAAAAACCAAAAAAAAAAAAAAAAAAAAAAGCCGGGCGUGGUGGCACACGCCUUUAAUCCCAGCACUUGGGAGGCAGAGGCAGGUGAAUUUCUGAGUUCGAGGCCAGCCUGGUCUACAGAGUGAGUUCCAGGACAGCCCGGGCUAUACAUAGAAACCCUGUUUCAGAAACAAACAAACAAACAAAAAAGAACACCAACUCUGAAAGUUUCCUCUUACCUACAGUCUCACACACCAUGCCAUGCUACCUCUAUUCACCCAUUGCUCUUCUACAGAACCACAGUGAUUAGAACCCUGGGGCUGGAGAGACGGCUCAGCAGUUAAGAACACUGCUCUUCCAGAGGUCCUGAGUUCAAAUCCCAAAAACCACAUGGUGGCUCACAACCAUCUAUAAUGAGACCAGAUGCCCUCUUCUGGUGUGUCUGAAGAUAGCUACAGUAUACUUACAUAUAAUAAAUAAAUAAAUCUUAAAAAAAAAAUCAACCCUGAACAUCUGCAAAUGAAGGUGUGUGGACACAGGUGUACUGCAGGGCACACUGACACUACAGCUUUCAUGAUAAGAUGUUUUGUAUGCCGUGUGUGUGUGUGUGUCUGUGUGUGUGUGUGUUAGGAAGGAGGUUUCAAGGGCAGAGGGGCAGAUACUCGGGUUCGAGGAGAUGAGUGGGACUGGGGUGCAUCACGUGACACUCACAAAGAACCAAAAGUUUUAAAAAGUAAAAUAAAAAUUAGACAAGGAAGUUACUACUGUGGGACACUUGUUUAAUGUGUGUAUAAAAUCCCAGUGUGUAUGGUUGUUUGUCUGCAUGUAAGUUUGUACAUUAUGUGUGCCUAGGACCUGCUGACUCCAGAAGAGCAUUUUGAAUCACCUGUAGAAUUACAAAUGGUUGUGAGCCACCAUGUAGAUGCUGGAAAUUGAACCUGAGUCCAUUGCAAGGGUAGCCAGUGCUCUUACAGAGUCAUUUUGUAGUCCAGCUAACCUUGAUCUCUCAGUUCUCCAGCCUUGGCCUUUGAGGCUAAGAUUAUAAGCAUAAACUGCUGUGUCCAGUAAAGAUUUUAUCUCCCAACACUGCAAAAGUAAAGUGCUAUGAGGUCGAAGCUAGGCCUUGGGCAUUGUCUUCGUUUAGGACUUAGUGCUGUAAAGAGACACCAUGACCAAGACGACUCUUAAUGAAGGACAACAUCUAAUAGUGCUGGCCUACAGGUUCAGAGGUUUACUCCGGUAUCAUCAAGACAAGCAUGGCAGCAUCCCGGCAGUCAUGGUGGGGAGUUAUUAUUUUUUUUUCUUAAGAACAGAUGUAUUUCUGACUAGACUAUAAGGUGAAAUAGCCACUAUGGAAAAGCAGUUUAGCAGUUCCUCAAAAAGCUAAACAAUUAUUCUUUGCCCUGGUUUUAGACAUAGUAUAUACAGGGAGGAAAGUUCUACACCUUGACCAGAAUGAUGCAGGAAGCCAGGAGGAGGGUCUCUUCCAUGCUCGGUGGAGCUUGACCAUAAGAUAUCCAAGCCUGCUUACACAUUGUCACAUGUCCUCCAACAAGGCCAUACCUCCUACUAGUGCCACUUCCCAUGGGCCAAGCAUAUUCAAACCACCACAGGCCUGUAAGGUUUCUUAGGGUCUCUCACCCAACAGGCUGUAACUUGUCAUGCUUCUACCAGACACCCAGUUGCAAGCUGAUGCAUAGCCCUGUUGUGUGGCAAAACUUCUUCAGGAGAUGCAAUUCACACAAAUCUAUUCCUCCCUCCCCCAAGAUAAGGAACGGACAACAGACCAAAAGUAUGCAUGCCACCAAAGUCCAGUGUGGUAAAUCAGUGAGUUUUAUUGUGGUUACUUACAGGAAUGUGGGUGAGGGGUUACUUACAGGAACAGAAAUUAUUCAAAGACAGCUGCAUUACUAAAGUCAUGGGUGACAUGUCACUCACAAAGCACACCACAGCCUAUAGACAGCUCCACAUGUUGGACAGUGUCCUUUCCAGGUUCCUCAGUUAGGCUAAACUGCUUCCAGGCAGUUGGUGUGGUCAGGCAGUACUCUUGAGGGUCUUUGAAACUCAGCUUUACUUUUCUGAGAGCUACCCUUAGUUAUUUACUCUUGUAGGGAGGGGCUUAGUGAAUUUAGUCAGUUUGGGGGACUUCCUGAAGCUAGUUUGAGUUGUUUACCGUCCUACUUAAGGAGCUUUAGGAUGUUUCAGUCUCAGAAGAAGUUGUUAUACAAGUCCCUCUCUGCUUUAGUAUCUGGGUUCAAGUGUAUCUACAGUAGAAGGCUGGAACCCCUAGCAGGGGUUAGCUCUGUUCCCCUUGCAAAAGCAAUUGAUUUUCUCCUGUCUUUGGCAAUCACCUCUUCCAGAUUGUCUUAUCAGCCUGAACAAAGCUGUUAUUUCUUCCUUCUUGACUCCUUCAUCCCUCUGGCUACUGUUACCACUUAUUCCCAAACUGGAAUCUUUACUCUGUCAGCUACCUUUUACUGUCUCUGGAGUCCACUGGACUGACUAUCCACAACAUUCUACACUGAAGUUUCUUCUUUGCCAACUUCCGUUGACUGCCAUAAGGUUAAAGCCAGUAUUUAGACAUCUGUAUUCUCUCUUUCCAUUUCCACCUUCUGUUGUAGUCUGGAACAGGUUAUACAAACCUUUGUAGAUCCUCAUUCCCUCUUCUUCCCAAGUGCUGGGAUUACUGAUGUAUACCAUCACACCUGGCAUUUCCCAUGUCCCUUUCUUACUUAUUUUUUUUUUUUAAGAUUUAUUUAGUUUAUGUGAGUACACCGUAGCUGUUUUCAGACACACAACAAGAGGGCAUCUAAUCCCAUUACAGAUGGUUGUGAGCCACCAUGUGGUUGCUGGGAAUUGAACUCAGGACCUCUGGAAGAGCAGUCAGUGCUCUUAACCUCUGAGCCAUCUCUUCAGCUCCUCUUACUUAUUCUUUUUGUUGUUGUUUUUCGAGACAGGGUUUCUCUGUGUAGCCCUGGCUGUCCUGGAACUCACUCUGUAGACCAGGCUGGCCUCAAACUCAGAAAUUGGCUGCCUCUGCCUCCCGAGUGCUGGGAUUAAAGGCGUGUGCCACCACCGCCCGGCCUCUUACUUAUUCUUGAUUCAUCGAGUUGGUAGCACAUAUUGUCUGUCAUUCCUACUCUAGACUGUAAGCUUAUUAGUCCUAUGAUGAGCCCAGUGAUCAGAACACUUCCAAGUUUAGCAUAGACAAUGUUUAUUUGUAUCUAAGAGAUGGCAUCUGGGUCCAUAGCUCUGUGGGGUCAUGGCCUGGCCCUCUCUUCUUCGUUAACAACCUCUCUACUAGUAGCUAAAUAUUACCUCUAUUGCUUUGGUGGAUUAAAAGUUGUCAGCAGAGUAUGACAACAACUAAUUGUGAAGCCGGGCGUGGUAGCACACGCCUUCAAUCCCAGCACUUGGGAGGCAGAGGCAGGCGGAUUUCUGAGUUCAAGGCCAGCCUGGUCUACAAAGUGAGUGUCAGGACAGCCAGGGCUACACAGAGAAAUCCUGUCUCGAAAAACAGAAAACAACAAAAAAAAAACCAAAAAGCACUAGUGAGGCUGAGGCAAGGGGAUAGUGAGUUUGGGGGCCAUCUUGGGCUACUGAGUGAACUCCUGUCUCAAAACAAAACUAAUAGCCAGGCAGUGGUGGUGUACGCCUUUAAUCCUAACACUUGGGAAGCAGAGGCAGGCAGAUUUCUGAAUUUGAGGACAGUCAGGGCUACACAGAGAAACCCUGUCUCAAAACCAACCAACCAACCAAACAAACAAACAAAAAACCCAAAACUAAUAACUCAAGAGGCAGAGACAGGCAGAUGGCUGUGAGUUUGAGACAGGUCUGGUCUACAUAGCAAGUCUCAUGGCAGCCAAGACUACCUUGCAAGGCCUUGUCAUACUUUCCCUUUUCUAGUUACCCUUUCUGUCUCAAACCCCAUGUCAGUCCAUCUGCAACCCUCCUAUCAACUGAUACUACUCUGAAGUAAUGUUGCCUUAACAUUUGGGAGAUGAGAAGAAAUGUCUGCUUACCCCAGCCAGGGUACCAACUCAGACCUUAGUGUUGUGCCUUUGAGCUACUGCCCCACAGUCUUUACUUCUUAUUGUGAAACAGGGUCUUGCUCAGUGGCCCAUAUAGGCCUUGACUUUGGGUUACAGUUUUCCUUCUCCACCUUCUCAUGGGCUUGGGUUAAGAGCAUGCAUGUGGUCCACGCCUGGUUUGAUGAAUCUCUCUAUAUGUGGACUGAACCCAGAACUUAGAAUUUUCCAGGCAAGUGCUCUACCACUGUAUUUGCUGUAUUCUCAGUUCUUUUUUGUUUUUGAUUUAUUUUAGAUAUAUAUGAGUACACUGUAACUAUACAGAUGGUUGUGAGCCGUCAUGUGAUUAUUGGGAAUUAAAUUUAGGACCUCUGCUUGCUCUGGUCAACCCACUAGCUCAGGCCCAAAGAUUUAUCAUUAUAAAUAAUAAGUACAUUGUUGCUGUCUUCAGACACACCAGAAGAGGUCUCAUUACUGGUGGUUGUGAGCCACCAUGUGGUUUCCGGAAUUUGAACUCAGGACCUUCAGAAGAGCAGUCAGUGCUCUUACCUGCUGAGCAAUCUUAAAAGCCCUCUUUUUGUUUUUGAAACAGGGUCUCUUACAUAGACUUGGCUGUCAUAAAACUCACUGUGUAGCCGGGCAUGGUGGUGCACGCCUUUAAUCCCAGCACUCAGGAGGUCAGAGACAGCUAGGAGCUAGGGCUAUACAGAGAAACCCGUCUCAAGAAACAAACAAAAACUCACUGUGUAGCAUUGACAGGUUGGCCUCAAACCCAGAGAUUCUCCUGCCUCAGCCUCCCAAGUGCUGACAUUAAAGGUUUGGGUCACCAUGCUUAUCUUGUAUCUCAUGUAUGAUUUUAAACUCCAGGAAAAAAAAAAAAAACAGCAAAAUCAUAUCUGUCUUAAAUUGUAUAGGGGAAAAUUUUUUUUGAAAAAAAUAUCAUCUGCCUCUAGUCUCAUACUGGGAUUAAAGGCAUCUGCCAGCACUGCCUGGCUCCCCACCCACUCCCCCUUCCCCUUGCAGUGGUUGAACUUCUAAGGUCAGACUGGUCUCUAUUGUUUAUGUUUAUUGGUGUUUUGUCUACUUGUAUAUCUGUGUUAGUGUCAGAAGCUCUGGAACUGGAGUUAUAGGAGGGUGUGAGCUGUCAUGUAGCUUCUGGGAAUUGAUCUGGGGUCCUCUGGAAGAGCAGCCAAGUACCUUUUUUUAAAAAAAAUAGAUUAAUUAAUUAAUUAAUUAUGUGUAAGUACACUGUAGUUGUCUUCUCACACUCCAGAAGAGAGUCAGAUCUCAUUACGGAUGGUUGAGAGCCACCAUGUGAUUGCUGGGAUUUGAACUCAGGACCUUUGGAAGAGCAGUCAGUGCUCUUAACUGCUGAGCCAUCUCUCCAGCCUCCAACAGCAGCCAAGUACCCUUAACCAAUGAGCCAUGGCCUUGAAUUCCUGGAUGGCCUGCCUCUACCUCCCAAGUGCUGGGAUUGCUUUGCCAUAUAUCACUUACAUGGUCCCAAGUCAAGGAUGUUUUUGUGUUUCUACCUUGGCCCAGCUGUAGCUUUGACAUUCUCAGUACCUUCACCAUGUUGCUAAGAUAUUUGACUGUGUGAGACCUAUCAACUCAAAGGAUGUGGAGCCUGGAUGAAGGCCGCAGAACAAAGCUGGGCACUAACUCAGGGUGACUGUGUGCUAUAUAUGCUCUACCUUCUCGCUCCUGUGCUGUGCAGCCAAAGCCAUGGUUAGACUUCCUUGGGCUUUCCCUAAGCUAUCACUUCUCUGUGCAGUCUUGAAGUUAGACGUUGGAGAGUGACAUCAUGGGCCCUGUGAACCCAUAUGCUGAAUGCCCAGGGCAGAAGCUGCAUUUAGUGCUUGCUCUGUGCCUAAGGCUAUAGGCCAGACCUUCCUGGUUGAUUGAGGUGAGCCUUGUGCUUUCUCUGGACUUCUCCCAGCACAAGACACUGGGCUGUGGAAAAGAGAAAAGCCCUGUUAGUCUGGUAUGGUUUGCAGUUUCAAGGCCCAUUGGAAGGUCUGACUGUGCUCUCUGCUCCCAUCCCUUCCCAGCCUCCCCUCCGGGGCUCCGUGGGACACUGGAUCUCCAGGUUAUCCGUGUUCGGAUGGAGGAACCACCAGCCGUCAGCCUCUUACAGGACUGGUCCAAGCACCCCCAGGGCACCAAGGGGGUGGGAACAGGUGACAAGCCAGACUGGCCCACAGUUCUGUCAGAAUCCAGUGCCACUGUUAAGGGACAACCAAAGGCAGGGAGUGGAGUAUAAGUUUUCAGUUUUCUAGAGAGGGAGGGGCGGGAAGAAGGAAAGGUGGGCGGGAGGAGGUAGUUAUCCCCCAUUGGCUUAAAUCUCAGAUCUGCCUAGCUUGGCCACCUGAUGGAGAUUUUUUAAAACCAGGUGCCAGGACAAUGUGGAGGGAGGAGGGGUGGCAUCACUGUCACAUCGGGCUACUGGAAAAUGCCUGCUCUUGGCCAAGCCGGAGGUAGGCAGAGGCGGCUUAGGUUGUUGGGUGGUAGGUAAGGCAUUGGGCCUGUGGAGAACACCUUCCCUAAUCCUUCGCUGACCUACCCUCUGGCCCCAUAUCUCCUCCUCCCUCUCAGCUCCCCACCAUUCUCCCCUGGCACAGUGCCUUAUGCAGAGGUGGUCAUGAUGGGGUUGGAACUGAGUCCCACUACCUCGGGGGACACCUUUCCUCCCCCACUUCUGGCUCCUACAGCAGGAGGCCUCCAUUACCUCUUACCGCCUUGUCCCUGCCGAGGGCUCCCGUUACAACCCCUUUACCUGUUGUCCUGUUGCAUCUAUUGUCCUGUUGUAUAUAUUGCCUUUGUUGACAAUAAAUUAUUUUUUUUUUAUUAAAAGUUCUGUGUGGGCUAUCAUUGGGAAAGGGGCAUAUUCUUAGAGCAGAUUGAGGGGCAGGAAACCGAAAAGUGGUCCUGAGUGGGAGCCAGAGACCCCUGCCAGGGCAGAGCAGCAGUGAGCCCAGAACAGAGGUUGCUUGGACCUCAGGGUCUGUUUUAACUUAAUGUCAGUCGCCUGAGAGACCCAUUUUCUUUACUUGACCUACUGACCCACCUGGUAGGCCUCUGUCCAAGCAAAGCUACUAUGGGGCUAGGGACACUCCUACCCAAGGAGCUAAGAGUUAGUGGGCCCUGAACUUGGCCAGCCUGCACUGACAUUUCCUCUGAUGUGAAGGUGGUACAUCCCUGCAUUCUCAAAGGGCUGUGCACUCCACUAUACACUUCACCCCUGUUCCUCAGCCUCAAUCCAAGUCUGCCUGGGGUCUGCAGAUUUUAGGCAUCCUGAGCUAUCGCUGCAUAGACCUAAUCUGUGGGGUUUUGCACUUGGGGUGAAAAUGAAUGUCCCAGAUUGCUUACUCUCAAAUCCUAGGAGGUGAGGCCACCCCACACUGCUGACUGUUCCUGGUAUAUUAUGGAGACUUGGGGAAAGGUAAAAUGAAGCCUCGCCUCCAUCAGGAAGAGUCAGGGUAUGCUGUGUGCUUGCUUAAGCUACUGUUCCCAGACCAGAGAUCUCAUACUGGACCCAGGCUGAGAAUUGGCCCUGCUAAGCCAUCUGUAUUCUCAGGAGGAGCCCAAGAAGGUAGAAGGUCCUUGUCCAGGAGAAGAGGAGACCGAAAUGAAGUAGAUGCAGGAGUUAAAGGUUCAAGGUCCAUCAUGUCCAGAAUGUCCCAGCCAUUGUCUGGGCCACAGGACACCUGGGUCUGUAUCUGUUUCUGUAGGUUAGCACAGUUUGUAUGCUCCCUAAAAAUAAUUUAGAUGUAGACUGUCUCUGAAAGCACUGUGUUGAAAUUGCAGGUGGUUUCUGUCCCUACAACUGUGUGACUUUACAUUUAUGUCAACUUGUUUUUAAAACAUUGUAUUUUUCACAAAGUAUUGAGGAAACUCAUAAAAGAUUGUGUUGUAAAAUGAUUAUCCAAACGCUUGCCCCUUUGUGGUUGUAUGAACCUGAUUUGUCUUAGACUGUGAACUCUGUGGGGCAGGGACCAGACUGCAUUAACUUGGUAUUUCUGGUGUCCUGCAUAGGGCUCGGCACAUAAGUACUCAAUAAAUGUCUGUCAAAUGCC